rnacentral:tRNA from 1 species
GGGGGUAUGGUGUAAUGGAUAGCAUCUGGGAUUUCGAAUCCUAGGAUCUCGGUUCGACUCCGGGUACCCCCGCCA